UCCUACGGGAGGCAGCAGUGAGGAAUUUUGCGCAAUGGGGGAAACCCUGACGCAGCAACGCCGCGUGAGUGAAGAAGGCCCUUGGGUCGUAAAGCUCUGUCAACUGGGAAGAAGUUGUUAUUGUUUAAUAAAUGAUAGCAUUGACGGUACCAGUGGAGGAAGCGCCGGCUAACUCCGUGCCAGCAGCCGCGGUAACACGGGGGGCGCAAGCGUUAUUCGGAAUUAUUGGGCGUAAAGGGCGCGUAGGCGGUUCUGUCGGUCAGAUGUGAAAGCCCGGGGCUCAACCCUGGAAGUGCAUUUGAAACAGCAGAACUUGAGUACGGGAGAGGAAAGCGGAAUUCCCGGUGUAGAGGUGAAAUUCGUAGAUAUCAGGAGGAACACCGAUGGCGAAGGCAGCUUUCUGGACCGAUACUGACGCUGAGGCGCGAAGGCGUGGGUAGCGAACAGGAUUAGAUACCCUGGUAGUCCACGCAGUAAACGAUGUUCACUAGGUGUAGCGGAUAUUAAAACAAGCUGUGCCGCAGCUAACCCAUUAAGUGA
rnacentral:rRNA from 1 species